rnacentral:rRNA from 1 species
GACGAAGGAUGGCAAGCGUUAUCCGGAUUCAUUGGGUUUAAAGGGAGCGUAGGUGGCCUUAUAAGUCAGUGGUGAAAUCUCGAGGCUUAACCUCGAAAUUGCCAUUGAUACUGUAGGGCUUGAGUAUAGUUGCCGUCGGCGGAAUAUGACAUGUAGUGGUGAAAUACAUAGAGAUGUCAUAGAACACCGAUUGCGAAGGCAGCUGACGAAACUAUAACUGACACUGAGGCUCGAAAGUGCGGGGAUCAAACAGG